UUUAAAUGGCGUCUCCGCAUUGUGGUUUUUUUUUUUUUUUAAAGUGGAAAAUUAAUGACAUAAUUAAGAGAAAUAUAUGGGAAUAAAUAUAAUUUCAGUGUAUAAUUAUAAACAGAAGGCUUUCUAGUAAUUUUGCAGAUGAGAAGAAGAUAAAAACAUUUUCAGAAAACAAAUAUUUUCCACGAUGUAUUUGUGCUGCUGUUUUAUUUUUCCAUAAUACAUGUUACCCAAGGGGCAUAAACGUUAGUCAAGUAUUUAUGUAAAUAAGAAGCUUUGGGAUCUAAUCCUCGGCGAAUUGCCGUUGAUCGCGUCUCCCCCGGAGAAGGACAUUCGAAUGUGGGAGGGAUAGUUUCCGGUCGCCCACGCUUCAUCCACGACAACCACUCGGCUUGUAACUUGCAGGGACGAGACUCUUUGCGAGACGGACUCGAGUGAAUAUGUCGUUCAAUAUAUACGCAAGAAGUGAAACGUAUGGAUUUUCAAGAGGAACAAAAAAGGUCAGCAAUUUUUGGAUGGCAAACAAAAAAAAAGAAGAAGAUUCAUGAAAAUUGGAAAAAAAAAUGCUGAAUCCCGCACUCUUGUGGCGCUAACGUACUCGCAGCAUCCCCGUUUUUCAUGGACCAUAGAUGCAAAAUAGAUGAGAGCGCGCGAAUCGCGCCACACUGUUGAAUAUAUAUAUAUACCUAUAUCUAAAGACGCGGUUAAUAUGGGUAGGUAACUGAAGGAAGGUGGGUUGGGCCGCACCCUGUUUCUCAAGCAUCCACCGAGGUGCACAAUCUGAAACGAUGGGAUGAUGUCGAGAUGAAGAAAUUAAAUUUGAGAGAAUGGCGUAUCCCACUUUAGGCGAGAUGUAGAUCUUGAACCUGAAAUUAUAUGAACAUGCUUUUUAGAAAACCCUUUUCGAAAAUUAAUAAACAUGAGGAUCCACUUUUUUGAAUGCUGUUCGUUGACAUUAAUCUACAUAUUUGAGUGCAAGAAAAUCAAUAAGAUUCGUGAAUGAGGAUUAUUUGCGGAACCGAAUUAUUAUUAAAGUGGAAGUAGCUGACAAGCGUCAUCAUCAUCAUCAUCAUCGAUGCGGGAGAGAUAUAUUCUAAGGGUGCGUCUUUGAUAUACCAUAGAGUCUGGAGUCUCGAGUUGUCGAGAUGGAAAAGAAGAAAAGAGGUGUGGCAGACCUCUCUCGCAUUGUCCGCCCGUAUAGCGUUAAGUCUCUUGGUCUUGAGACUGGUCCACACGCAGCAUCCGAAUCUAUCUGCAUACACUAUAGAGUUGGUGUGCCACACAUAAGAUUUAAA